CAUGCGCCGGUUCUGGAACCAGACUUUGACCUGCCUUUCGGUGAGGUCCAGCAAGGCCGCGAUCUCGACGCGGCGUGGCCGGCACAGGAAAAGAUGAGUGAGGAUCUCCGCGUUGGAGGAAGAGGGAGUCGAAAGAGGCUUCCACUGUUUGAAAAAGGUCAGUGUUAAGGUGCAAAUAAGAGAUUUACAAUCAUCAGCACCACUAUCCCUGUUACCCUCCAAAAGCAACAGUUAAAUCUUGGGAAAUGGACAGGAAAUCCCAGGCGGACACAUAGAAGUGAGAUAGAGCAUGAGGGGCAUUUUUGGGCCUCUGGCCUCCAUGGCUGUAUGGCCUGGGUUCUCUUCUCUACCCAGUGUUUGCAGCACUGCCUCUGCCCCUUAUGUACCCCUGCUUUCCUCACUUUCAGGCUUCCAUGCUUCUCUGUGACAUCCCCAAAAACAGGCAGAGUCUAAGAUGUGCAUUUACCCACUCAAGCCUCAAGCUUGUAUCUGUAUCCAUAUCCAGGGACAUGAACAAGAACUGGGGUAGCCAAUUGAUUUAACUUAGAGCACUCUCAAAGUUCAGAUCAGCGUUCUGUGUGUGCAUGAGUGUGGUGGGGAGCUUUUCCCCUAGGACAAAGAGACUUUCCCUCCCAUUUUUGCCAUUGUGCUAGUUAAAAAAAAAGUAAACAAAAAAAAAA
rnacentral:antisense_RNA from 1 species